GAUGAACGCUGGCGGCGUGCCUAAUACAUGCAAGUCGAGCGAACAGACGAGGAGCUUGCUCCUCUGACGUUAGCGGCGGACGGGUGAGUAACACGUGGAUAACCUACCUAUAAGACUGGGAUAACUUCGGGAAACCGGAGCUAAUACCGGAUAAUAUAUUGAACCGCAUGGUUCAAUAGUGAAAGACGGUUUUGCUGUCACUUAUAGAUGGAUCCGCGCCGCAUUAGCUAGUUGGUAAGGUAACGGCUUACCAAGGCAACGAUGCGUAGCCGACCUGAGAGGGUGAUCGGCCACCCUGGAACUGAGACACGGUCCAGACUCCUACGGGAGGCAGCAGUAGGGAAUCUUCCGCAAUGGGCGAAAGCCUGACGGAGCAACGCCGCGUGAGUGAUGAAGGUCUUCGGAUCGUAAAACUCUGUUAUUAGGGAAGAACAAAUGUGUAAGUACCUAUGCACGUCUUGACGGUACCUAAUCAGAAAGCCACGGCUAACUACGUG
rnacentral:rRNA from 1 species